rnacentral:rRNA from 1 species
AUUGAACGCUGGCGGCAGGCUUAACACAUGCAAGUCGAGCGGGGGAGGUUGCUUCGGUAACUGACCUAGCGGCGGACGGGUGAGUAAUGCUUAGGAAUCUGCCUAUUAGUGGGGGACAACAUCUCGAAAGGGAUGCUAAUACCGCAUACGUCCUACGGGAGAAAGCAGGGGACCUUCGGGCCUUGCGCUAAUAGAUGAGCCUAGGUCGGAUUAGCUAGUUGUGGGGGUAAAGGCCUACCAAGGCGACGAUCGGUAGCGGGUCUGAGAGGAUGAUCCGCCACACUGGGACUGAGACACGGCCCAGACUCCUACGGGAGGCAGCAGUGGGGAAUAUUGGACAAUGGGGGGAACCCUGAUCCAGCCAUGCCGCGUGUGUGAAGAAGGCCUUUUGGUUGUAAAGCACUUUAAGCGAGGAGGAGGCUACUGGUAUUAAUACUACCGGAUAGUGGACGUUACUCGCAGAAUAAGCACCGGCUAACUCUGUGCCAGCAGCCGCAGUAAAAC